rnacentral:rRNA from 1 species
UACGGAGGAUGCGAGCGUUAUCCGGAUUUAUUGGGUUUAAAGGGUGCGUAGGUGGGUUGUUAAGUCAGCGGUAAAAUUGCGGUGCUCAACGCCGUAGAGCCGUUGAAACUGGCGGCCUUGAGUGGGCGAGAAGUAUGCGGAAUGCGUGGUGUAGCGGUGAAAUGCAUAGAUAUCACGCAGAACCCCGAUUGCGAAGGCAGCAUACCGGCGCCCUACUGACGCUGAGGCACGAAAGUGCGGGUAUCGAA